rnacentral:rRNA from 1 species
AACGAACGCUGGCGGCAGGCCUAACACAUGCAAGUCGAGCGAAGCCUUCGGGCUUAGCGGCGGACGGGUGAGUAACGCGUGGGAACGUGCCCUUUGGUACGGAAUAGCCCCGGGAAACUGGGAGUAAUACCGUAUGUGGUCGAGAGACGAAAGAUUUAUCGCCAAAGGAUCGGCCCGCGUUGGAUUAGGUAGUUGGUGGGGUAAUGGCCUACCAAGCCGACGAUCCAUAGCGGGUUUGAGAGGAUGAUCAGCCACACUGGGACUGAGACACGGCCCAGACUCCUACGGGAGGCACCAGUGGGGAAUCUUAGACAAUGGGGGAAACCCUGAUCUAGCCAUGCCGCGUGAUCGAUGAAGGCCUUAGGGUUGUAAAGAUCUUUCAGUGGGGAAGAUAAUGACUGUACCCACAGAAGAAGCCCCGGCUAACUCCGUGCCAGCAGCCGCGGUAACAC